GAGUAACACGUGGGCAAUCUGCCCUUCACUCUGGGACAAGCCCUGGAAACGGGGUCUAAUACCGGAUACUGACCUGCCAAGGCAUCUUGGCGGGUCGAAAGCUCCGGCGGUGAAGGAUGAGCCCGCGGCCUAUCAGCUUGUUGGUGAGGUAAUGGCUCACCAAGGCGACGACGGGUAGCCGGCCUGAGAGGGCGACCGGCCACACUGGGACUGAGACACGGCCCAGACUCCUACGGGAGGCAGCAGUGGGGAAUAUUGCACAAUGGGCGAAAGCCUGAUGCAGCGACGCCGCGUGAGGGAUGACGGCCUUCGGGUUGUAAACCUCUUUCAGCAGGGAAGAAGCGAAAGUGACGGUACCUGCAGAAGAAGCGCCGGCUAACUACGUGCCAGCAGCCGCGGUAAUACGUAGGGCGCAAGCGUUGUCCGGAAUUAUUGGGCGUAAAGAGCUCGUAGGCGGCUUGUCACGUCGGUUGUGAAAGCCCGGGGCUUAACCCCGGGUCUGCAGUCGAUACGGGCAGGCUAGAGUUCGGUAGGGGAGAUCGGAAUUCCUGGUGUAGCGGUGAAAUGCGCAGAUAUCAGG
rnacentral:rRNA from 1 species